rfam:Hordeum vulgare subsp. vulgare, WGS project CAJW01000000 data, contig: morex_contig_1579361
CAAGCUCGAAUGAUAAUUACAAGUGCAUAGUUCAGAUGACCAAACUGUGAUUACUUGAACAAAAUAGUCUUGCACUCCUAGCUGAUAUGUGCUGA